rnacentral:rRNA from 1 species
CCUACGGGGGGCUGCAGUGGGGAAUAUUGCGCAAUGGCCGAAAGGCUGACGCAGCGACGCCGCGUGUGGGAGGAAGCCCUUCGGGGUGUAAACCACUGUCGGGAGGGACGAAUCCCGGACGGGCAAAUAGCCCGGACGGUUGACGGUACCUCCAAAGGAAGCACCGGCUAACUCCGUGCCAGCAGCCGCGGUAAGACGGAGGGUGCAAGCGUUGUUCGGAAUUACUGGGCGUAAAGCGCGGGCAGGUGGUCUCCUAAGUCCCUUGUGAAAUCCCGGAGCUCAACUCCGGAUGUGCAUGGGAUACUGGGUGACUUGAGACUGGUAGAGGCGAGCGGAAUUCCUGGUGUAGCGGUGGAAUGCGUAGAUAUCAGGAAGAACACCGGUGGCGAAGGCGGCUCGCUGGGCCAGAUCUGACACUCAUCCGCGAAAGCGUGGGGAGCAAACAGGAUUAGAUACCCUUGUAGUC